rnacentral:misc_RNA from 1 species
GAUGAAGAACGUAGCGAAUGCGAUAAGUAAUGUGAAUUGCAGAAUUCAGUGAAUCAUCGAAUCUUUGAACGCACAUUGCGCCCGCCAGUAUUCUGGCGGGCAUGCCUGUUCGAGCGUCAUUUCAACCCUCAGGGCCCUUUUGGACCUGGCGUUGGGGCUCGGCCGCUACCCUGCGGCCGUCCCCGAAAGAUAGUGGCGGUCUCGCUGUAGCCUCCUCUGCGUAGUAGUUACAUCUCGCACUGGAACGCGGCGCGGCCUUGCCGUUAAACACCCCACUUCUCAAGGUUGACCUCGGAUCAGGUAGGAAUACCCGCUGAACUUAAGCAUAUCAAUAAGCGGAGGA